GGGCCNUAAAGGUUCCUAACCCGGUNCGGGCAAUUCCCCGGGAAANUUCGCGGCCUAACCCUCAGGCUUCGGGGGAUACUGCCAGACUAGGGACCGGGAGAGGCCGGGGUAUUCCCGGGGUAGGGGGUGAAAUCCUGUAAUCCCUGGGGGACACCUGUGGCGAAGGCGCCCGCCAGAACGGGUUNGAUGGUGAGGACGAANUGCAGGGGAGCGAACCGGAUUAGAUACCCGGGUAGUCCAGGCUGUAAANNAUNCAAUUCUAUUUUAUUGGAUUNNCUACAACCUUUUNCAUUUUCNUAUNCCANCCCCCUUAAU
rnacentral:rRNA from 1 species